rnacentral:lncRNA from 1 species
GUGAACCAUGGGCAGCGGAUGUUGAUGUAUCUUCUGAAUAGCUAGAUGUUCCGAAUUAAACAUUGCCUCAAUGGGUAAAUGAUUCCGCAAAUCUUCAGCAAUAUUUUUGAGUACAACAUCAUUGUUUGUCACCACAAACUCAUCAAAGUCACUGCUGUGGCGCAUCCAGUGCAGCAGGCGGGGCAGAUCGGCGGCGCACGUGCCCCGCACGGCGGCCAACACCGCGCGCCGCGCCGCCUCCAGUUCC